rnacentral:rRNA from 1 species
CCUACGGGUGGCAGCAGUGGGGAAUAUUGCACAAUGGGGGAAACCCUGAUGCAGCGACGCCGCGUGAGUGACGAAGUAAUUCGUUAUGUAAAGCUCUAUCAGCAGGGAAGAAAAUGACGGUACCUGAGUCAGAAGCACCGGCUAACUACGUGCCAGCAGCCGCGGUAAUACGUAGGCGGCAAGCGUUAUCCGGAUUUACUGGGGGUAAAGGGAGCGUAGACGGCAGUGAAAGUCUGGAGUGAAAGGCGGGGGCUCAACCCCCGGACUGCUCUGGAAACUGUACGGCUGGAGUGCAGGAGAGGUAAGUGGAAGUCCUAGGGUAGCGGUGAAAGGCGUAGAUAUUAGGAGGAACACCAGUGGCGAAGGCGGCUUACUGGACUGUAACUGACGUUGAGGCUCGAAAGCGUGGGGAGCAAACAGGAUUAGAUACCCGUGUAGU